rnacentral:rRNA from 1 species
CCCGCACAAGCGGUGGAGUAUGUGGUUUAAUUCGAUGCAACGCGAAGAACCUUACCUGGUCUUGACAUCCCGGAGACCCUUAGGAAACUAGGGGUGCUUCCAUCUGGAAGAAUCUGAAGACAGGUGCUGCAUGGCUGUCGUCAGCUCGUGUCGUGAGAUGUUGGGUUAAGUCCCGCAACGAGCGCAACCCUUGCCUUUAGUUGCCAGCAGUUCGGCUGGGCACUCUAAAGGGACUGCCGGUGUUAAACCGGAGGAAGGUGGGGAUGACGUCAAGUCCUCAUGGCCUUUAUGACCAGGGCUACACACGUACUACAAUGGCCGAUACAAAGGGCAGCGACACUGCGAGGUGAAGCCAAUCCCGUAAAAUCGGUCUCAGUCCGGAUUGGAGUCUGCAACUCGACUCCAUGAAGUUGGAAUCGCUAGUAAUCGUGGAUCAGCAUGCCACGGUGAAUACGUUCCCGGGCCUU